UGUAUUUAUUAGAUUAAAAACCAAUGCCCUUCGGGGCUCCUUGGUGAUUCAUAAUAACUUAACGAAUCGCAUGGCCUUGUGCCGGCGAUGGUUCAUUCAAAUUUCUGCCCUAUCAACUUUCGAUGGUAGUAUAUGGGACUACCAUGGUUUCAACGGGUAACGGGGAAUUAGGGUUCUAUUCCGGAGAGGGAGCCUGAGAAACGGCUACCACAUCCAAGGAAGGCAGCAGGCGCGCAAAUUACCCAAUCCCGACACGGGGAGGUAGUGACAAUAAAUACUGAUACAGGGCUCUUUUGGGUCCUGUAAUUGGAAUGAGUACAAUUUAAAUCCCUUAACGAGGAACAAUUGGAGGGCAAGUCUGGUGCCAGCAGCCGCGGUAAUACCAGCUCCAAUAGCGUAUAUUAAAGUUGUUGCAGUUAAAAAGCUCGUAGUUGAACCUUGGGCCUGGCUGGCCGGUCCGCCUCACCGCGUGCACUGGUCCGGCCGGGUCUUUCCUCCUGGGGAGCCGCAUGCCCUUCACUGGGUGUGUCGGGGAACCAGG
rnacentral:rRNA from 1 species